GCCAGCAGCCGCGGUAAUUCCAGCUCCAAUAGCGUAUAUUUAAGUUGUUGCAGUUAAAAAGCUCGUAGUUGGAUUUCGGGUGGGUUCUAGCGGUCCGCCUAUGGUGAGUACUGCUAUGGCCUUCCUUUCUGUCGGGGACGGGCUUCUGGGCUUCACUGUCCGGGACUCGGAGUCGACGUGGUUACUUUGAGUAAAUUAGAGUGUUCAAAGCAGGCUUACGCCCUGAAUACUUUAGCAUGGAAUAACACGAUAGGACUCUGGCCUAUCUUGUUGGUCUGUAGGACUGGAGUAAUGAUUAAGAGGGACAGUCGGGGGCAUUCGUAUUUCAUUGUCAGAGGUGAAAUUCUUGGAUUUAUGAAAGACGAACUACUGCGAAAGCAUUUGCCAAGGAUGUUUUCAUUAAUCAAGAACGAAAGUUGGGGGCUCGAAGACGAUUAGAUACCGUCGUAGUCUCAACCAUAAACGAUGCCGACUAGGGAUUGGCGAACGUUUUUUUAAUGACUUCGCCAGCACCUUAUGAGAAAUCAAAGUUUUUGGGUUCCGGGGGGAGUAUGGUCGCAAGGCUGAAACUUAAAGGAAUUGACGGAAGGGCACCACCAGGCGU
rnacentral:rRNA from 1 species